rnacentral:rRNA from 1 species
CCCGCUGAGUUUAAGCAUAUCAAUAAGCGGAGGAAAAGAAACUAACGAGGAUUCCCCUAGUAACGG